rnacentral:lncRNA from 1 species
AUCAUGAAACUUCUAAGUACCGAAGUGUGGUAUCGUCUUCACUUGCCUUAUCUGUCUCAUAGGUAGAUGUGGCAUCUUCUCUGGAAGUACUCUUCCUCCAUUCAGGGGUGGUAUCUUUAACUGGUGGAGAUGCACAAGGUAAUGUAUCAAUUUCACUUGAAGCUUACUUGUAGUUUCAGGCUUGGUCAAGCGCGAUACAAACCAUGUAGUAGGAGUCCCCCAAGUCGUUGAGCUAGGGGAUCUGCUGAAAGAGGUGACAGACAAGGUAAGCAAUCAGAGCUCCAAGCAAUCAGUCCCAGAUCAGAAGUUUGAUUUCGAGUUCCGGCUGAUUGUUCUCAUUCUUCCUAUCUUGCAGGUAGCAUGAAGGAUAAAGAGAAGAAAAUGAGAAUAGAUGAUAUGAGAUACUUUUGCUUUUGAAGAAGUAACUUUCCACAGGCUUAUUCUUGAACUGGGCUGGAGGGUUUUCUGGUUUCCUCCAGAGUAUAAGGCCGACUGAAGAAUUCGAGGGUCAAAACAAGUCCAUCAAAUCUAGAGUACGUUCGACCCUGCUGAUAUGGGAUACUUUUGCUGUUGACAAAGUAGUGGAUGUAUCGGCACGCGUUCUGUUACGUUUGUCUCCACAUGCUUCCUUGUAUCAUUUUCACUUUCCCUAUCAGUUACUCAAGCAGAUGUGGUAUCUUCUCUGGAAGCAUAAGAUGUUGAAGAUGAGUACUCGAGAGCAAUACCAGGUAAGUAAUCAGGUAAGGGGUUCCAGGCAGUCAGUUCCUGACUAGAAGCUUGAUUCCAAGUGCUGACUAAUUGCUCUCUUUCUCUUUGUCUUGCAGGUAAGAACAAGGCCAAAGGAAAAGACAGGGAAAAAGCAUGAUAUGGAAUACUCUUGCUUUUAACCCUGAUGAUAUGAGAUAUUCUUGCUCUGGUGUAGCUUGUUUGCAAAGGUAUUAUCGGGAGGAAAGAAAGCUGAGUAUUUCGAGAGGCUUCGUUGGGAGUGCCCUCUCAGAUAUGAGGAAGGGUUAAGAAUCUUUGCAGGUCUGCCUGUCCGUUGAGGAUGGAGGUCGACAUAUAUAGGAGUUUCCCUAACAACAAGUAGUAAUGCUAUUCCUUUACCCUACUUGGUCAUAGCACGGUAGUGGGAGCUGUCAGCUUCACGUGUGUCAGAGCACUUUGAAAAAGUGGUUUGUGGUAUCUGGAAAGCUGAUAUUGCGUGUGAAGAUUACAGACAAGCUUUAUCCAAGGAGAUCUGACUCUUGAAAUUGAGAAAGCGGUGCCUCUUCGGUUUUCGAACAAGCAAUCCUGUCGGGGAUCUGACUCUCGAGAUUCGGAGAACGGUGCCUCUGCGAUUUUUGAGAGAGCAAUCCUACUGGGAGUCUGGCUCUCAAGAUUCGGAGAGCGGUGUCUCUUCGAUUUUUGAGAAAUUAAUCAUGUUGGGAGUCUGGCUCUCGAGAUUCGGAUAACAGUGCCUCUUCGAUUUUGGAGCAAGCAAUCUUGUUGGGAGUGUUUUCUCGAAUGUGAGUAAAGGUAGGGCAUGUUUGCUAGUCUACCUUGCCACGGAGCACAGAGGUUGACACACAGGGACUUUCCAAUUAUCCAGCAGUGGUGCUGUUCCUUUACCCUUGUGGGCAAUAAUAUGAUAGCUAGACCUUCAAAAUUUAUGUGUCUAAACUUUGUUAGUGCUGUUUCUUUGCUAUUCUUUUACCCUUCUUGGUCAUAGCGAUGUAGUGGGAGCUGCAAGCUUCACGUGUCUAAACUUUGUCAGAGAUCUUUGGCAAAGUUAUCUGUGGUACCCCUGAGCUGAUGGUGCGUGUGGAAAAGUGGAUGAUUGAACAGUAAGAUUCACGUGCUUUCUACUUCACCAGAAAUCUUCAACAGAAUGCCCGUAAUUUCAGCAAAGCUGAGUGUGCAUGUGACAGGUGCUGACAAGGCUGAAAAAAGCAGGUGCCUCUUCGAUUUCUAAGAUCGGCCCUCGUGGUCUCUGAGCAGCUCAGCUUUUGAGAAAGCAAGCCUCUUCAAUUUCUGAGAUCGGUCUUCGUGGUCUUUGAGCGGCUCAGCUUUUGAGAAAGCAAACGCCUCUUCGAUUUCUGAGAUCGGCCCUCGUGGUCUCUGAGCAACCCAGCUUUUGAGAAAGCAAACACCUCUUCUAUUUCUGAAGCUCCGCCGAGUGCAGAUUUUUAUAGAGGCUGGCAUUAAGUUUCAAAGCACACUUGAAUAUUCACUAAUAGAAGCUCCCUUCUUGCACUUCUAAGAUCUUGAUUAGUCCGACCUCUUCUCUCUUCAACACCUUUGAAAAUGUCUGGCCCCUUCGACCGUCGUUUUGACUUGAACCUUGUUGAAGAGGCAGCCACGCCUUCUCCAGACAACAUAUGGCGCCCAUCCUUCUUAUCCCCUACUGGUCCUCUUACCGUUGGGGAUUCCGUGAUGAAGAAUGAUAUGACCGCUGCGGUGGUGGCCAGGAACCUUCUCACUCCCAAAGAUAACAGACUACUUUCCAAACGGUCUGAUGAAUUGGCUGUUAAGGAUUCUUUGGCUCUGAGUAUUCAGUGUGCAGGUUCUGUGUCUAAUAUGGCCCAACGCCUAUUUGCUCGAACUCGCCAAGUUGAAUCAUUGGCGGCUGAAGUGAUGAGUCUCAAACAGGAGAUUAGAGGGCUCAAGCAUGAGAAUAAAGAGUUACACCGGCUCGCACAUAACUAUACUACAAACAUGAAGAGGAAGCUUGACCAGAUGAAGGAAUCUGAUGGUCAGGUUUUACUUGAUCAUCAACGGUUUGUGGGUUUGUUCCAAAGGCAUUUAUUGCCUUCGUCUUCUGAGGCUGUACCGUAUAAUGAAGCUCCAAAUGAUCAACCUCCGAUGCCUCCUCCUUCUAGGGUUCUAUCCAGUACUGAGGCUCCGAAUAAUCCCUCUCCGAUGCCUUCUCUUUCUGGGGCUCUACCGACUGCUGAGACUUCUCCUAAGCAACCUUUGUGAAAGCUCCCUCUUGUUUGUUUAUUUUGACUCAUGUAUAUGUACAUAUUUGUAACUUAUCGAAGAUAUCAAUAAAUAAGUUUUGCUUCAUUUCCAACGUAUUGUGUUAAAUACACCAAAGCCUUCUUCACUGAGUGGGGUCGGCUAUAUGAAUCUUAGAACGCCAUUGUGCUCGAUCCUGUGUCAUGUCCUCCGUUAGAUCCAAAUACUCUAAGUCUUUUCUUAGAGUCUCUUCCAAAGUUUUCCUAGGUCUUCCUCUACCCAUUCGGCCCUGAACCUCUGUCCCGUAGUCGCAUCUUCUAACCAGAGCGUCAGUAGGCCUUCUUUGUACAUGUCCAAACCACUGUAACCGAUUUUCUCUCAACUUUCCUACAAUUUUGGCUACUCCUACUUUACCUCGGAUAUCCUCAUUCCUAAUCUUAUCCUUUCUCGUGCGCCCACACAUCCAACGAAGCAUCCUCAUCUCCGCUACACCCAUUUUGUGUACGUGUUGAUGCUUCACCGCCCAACAUUCUGUGCCAUAUAGCAUCGCCGGCCUUAUUGCCGUCCUAUAAAAUUAUCCCUUGAGCUUCAGUGGCAUACGGCGGUCACACAACACGCCGGAUGCACUCUUCCACUUCAUCCAUCCAACUUGUAUUCUAUGGUUGAGAUCUCCAUCUAAUUCUCCGUUCUUUUGUAAGAUAGAUCCUAAGUAGCGAAAACGAUCGCUCUUUGGUAUUUCCUGAUCUCCGAUCCUCACCCCUAACUCAUUUUGGCCUCCAUUUGCACUGAACUUGCACUCCAUAUAUUCUGUCUUUGAUCGGCUUAGGCGAAGACCUUUAGAUUCCAACACUUCUCUCCAAAGGUUAAGCUUCGCAUUUACCCCUUCCUGAGUUUCAUCUAUCAACACAUUAUCGUCUGCGAAAAGCAUACACCAAGGAAUAUCAUCUUGAAUAUGUCCUGUUAACUCAUCCAUUACCAACGCAAAAAGGUAAGGAUUUAAGGAUGAGCCUUGAUGUAAUCCUACAGUUAUGGGGAAGCUUUCGGUAAGAGAAGAUGCAGGUAAUCCUCAUAAGGCUAAUACAGGACAAGUAGGUGAGAAAUUUCAAGAAUGCUAAGUAGUUAACAAAUGGAAGCCAAUAUGAAACAGGCAUGGAAGAAUAAUGUAACACACCAUAAAAUACCACUUAAAUUUUAACUAACGUUUCAAUGCUAUAUACAAUGGAGCAUAAACAUAAAAAUUAAGGAGGUGUCUGAGAAUUGAAAGAAAGAAGCAUAAGAUGCCAACUAUAAGUGCAUCAUAUGCAAUCAUGAUGGACAAUGUGAAGGAAUUCAGUCAAAGGUCAUAAAUUUCCACACUGAAAGCUUGAAUUGGGAAUUGUAUCCACCUUAGCACAAAGAGAUGCAUGUUCCUUUCCAAUAGACACAACCUUCUUCCUCAAAGCAUCCACAUUUCCCAACACCUGUAAUUAUCAAAUAAAAAGUUGAAGACCGACCAGUUGAUGAGAGUCUAAUACCUGUCUGCAUUCUCUUAGUGUCACAAAAUAGUAUAAUUCAGUCCUGAUGGAGAUACAAUCGGAAAACUAGUUUGAAAGGUAUACAUUAAAAUCAUUCACAAAGACAAGGAGAGAGAGCAUGUUUUCCACAUCAUUAUGAGAAUAUCAAGAAGUUAUUCCAAAUAACUUUUUACAGUAAUAACAUCCUUGAUUUAUUCUGCAUUGAAAAUUGGCCAUGAUUUGCUCCGUAUGUACCUGUUCAUAAUUUCCAUCCCCAAGAGUUAAUUCAAUAAGAGAUCGUUCAUAAGGGUGAAGACACUUUUUAUUUGGAAAAUUCUCGAAUAAGUUCUCAAUGGAAUUGCCAGUUCCUGCAGAAGAAAACAAAAAGCUAGUCAGUAAUCAUUGAACAGUCUUUCAUAUAAAAACAGUACAAAAGAAAAUAUAAUAAAAUGUUAAAUUUAAGUUAAGAACAAACUUUCAUCAAUGCAUCAAGUUGCUUUGAACCUCUAUUUCUUUCUCGCUUUGCAAUAUUGGCAAUACCUGAAAAUAAGAUAUCAAAAUCAUGGGCAGCAGACUAGCAGUAGGGGACCUACAAACCAAGUUCCCUGCAAUUCUGAUCUAAUGUAUUUUUGUUAAAAUAGAUAUAAUAUAAAUUCUCAUUACAAAUACCCUUUGUUGGUGUAAUCCUCUUAGCCUUCCUUAGUGCCGAAUACAGAAUGUCAACAGAUGGCAUCACCAUGGGUAGCUUUUGGAAUGCACCAACAUCUUCAAGAUUUUCGGGUGAUUUUUCCUAAAAUUACAAUAUUGGGAACCAUGGUACCAUCAUUACUUCCUCCAAUAUUUUUGUCCCAAAAUAAAUGAGUGGUAAAAGAUGCAAGAAGGUAUUCAUCACAAAAAUAAAAUAAAAUUUGAUAUAAGCGUGAAACUUAUUUAAACUUGAGAGAACAAUGCCCUUCCUGUUCUGUCACACUAGAAUACCAAGUAAACAAAUUGACAACAAUCCACUAACAUACAGCAUUAAGAUAUUAAACUUGCUCAAGUUGUCAACAAGAUCGAUUAUUUACUCAAAAGAACUCGUCAUUGAAGCUAUUCCUGCAACCUAUCGUAUGAGAUGCACACCCAAUAACAGCAGUCAGAAAUUUCUAAAUCCCAAACUUCAAAGACGUUAUUCAUGGUGGUCAUUGAUCAACAAAACCCAACUCCCUCGUUGACUGCUCCAGAAGGUCAUACCCUUUUUGCAGCAAUCAUUUAUGCUUAAAUCCUGAAUUUCGUGUUAAUUUGCACUAUACCCUGAUACUUAUUCAUAGGAUCUCUCCAACCUCUCGUACUCUCAUCGUCCAAUAAGAAAAUGGUAGUAGUAGAAGUAAUGAGGGAAGGUAUUCAUAUAUAAUGUCAAAGACAUAUAGUUUGUAAUAAGAACACAAGAGCAAACCAAUUACUAACUCAAUGCUCUUGAAAUUAUACUAUUUCCAUGAAACUAGAAAGUAAUAAUUACACAAUGUUAAACCUUCGCUUCCUUAUUCUUUUCCCUUUUCCGGACCAAUUUAUAAUUUCAUAUCAUUUCUUGCUUUGCUUCACUCGCUAGUAAUUUAUCCUUAUGUACGGUUAGAUGUGCCCAUUCCAUGAGACCAAACAAAUACAGAUACAACAACAACAACAACAACAACAAAGCCUUUUCCCACUAAGUGGGGUCGGCUAUAUGAAUCCUAGAACGCCAUUGCGCUCGGUUUUGUGUCAUGUCCUCCGUUAGAUCCAAGUACUCAAGUCUUUUCUUAGGGUCUCUUCCAAAGUUUUCCUAGGUCUUCCUCUACCCCUUCGGCCCUGAACCUCUGUCCCGUAGUCGCAUCUUCUAACCAGAGCGUCAGUAGGCCUUCUUUGUACAUGUCCAAACCACUGUAACCGAUUUUCUCUCAACUUUCCUACAAUUUUGGCUACUCCUACUUUACCUCGGAUAUCCUCAUUCCUAAUCUUAUCCUUUCUCGUGUGCCCAUACAUCCCACGAAGCAUCCUCAUCUCCGCUACACCCAUUUUGUGUACGUGUUGAUGCUUCACCGCCCAACAUUCUGUGCCAUACAACAUCACUGGCCUCAUGUCCUCCGUUAGAUCCAAGUACUCAAGUCUUUUCUUAGGGUCUCUUCCAAAGUUUUCCUAGGUCUUCCUCUACCCCUUCGGCCCUGAGCCUCUGUCCCGUAGUCACAUUUUCGAACCGGAGCGUCAGUAGGCCUUCUUUGCACAUGUCCAAACCACCGGAACCGAGUUUCUCUCAUAUUUCCUUCAAUUUUGGCUACUCCUACUUUACCUCAGAUAUCCUCAUUCCCAAUCUUAUCCUUUCUCGUGUGCCCAUACAUCCCACGAAGCAUCCUCAUCUCCGCUACACCCAUUUUGUGUACGUGUUGAUGCUUCACCGCCCAACAUUCUGUGCCAUACAACAUCACUGGCCUUAUUGUCGUCCUAUAAAAUUUUCCCUUGAGCUUCAAUGGCCUACGACGGUCACACAACACGCCGGAUGCACUCUUACACUUCAUCCAUCUAGCUUGUAUUCUAUGGUUGAGAUCUCCAUCUAAUUCUCCGUUCUCUUGCAAGAUAGAUCCUAGGUAGCGAAAAUGGUCACUUUUUGUGAUCUUCGCUAGAUUGUUCCGGUCAUUAGUGUGGAUAAGUAUAUAAAUGGAUAGAGAUAGGAAAGCAAACACAAGAUGUACAUGGUUCACCCAGAUUGAAUACGUCCACGGAAUAGAGUAGUUCUCAUUAAUUGCGAAGGGUUUACAUAAGUACAUAGGUUCAAGCUCUCCUUUAGUGAGUACAAGUGAAUGAUUUAGUACAAAUGACAUUAGGAAAUAUUGUGGGAGAAUGAUCUCGUAACCACGAAACUUCUAAGUACCGGAGUGUGGUAUCGUCUUGACUUGCCUUAUCUGUCUCAUAGGUAGAUGUGGCAUCUUCUCUGGAAGUACUCUUCCUCCAUCCAGGGGUGGUAUCUGUAACUGGUGGAGAUGCACAAAGUAAUGUAUCAAAUUCACUUGAAGCUUACUUGUAGUUUCAGGCUUGGUCAAGCGCGAUACAAACCAUGUAGUAGGAGUUCCCCAAGUCACCGAGCUAGGGGAUCUGCUGAAAGAGGUGACAGACAAGGUAAGCAAUCAGAGCUCCGGCUGAUUGUUCACAUUCUCCCUAUCUUGCAGGCAGCAUGAAGGAUAAAGAGAAGAAAAAUGAGAAGAGAUGAUAUGGGAUACUUUUGCUUUUGAAGAAGUAACUUUCCAUGGGCUUAUUCUUGAACUGGGCUGGAGGGUUUUCUGGUUUCCUCCAGAGUAUAAGGCCGACUGAAGAAUUUGAGGGUCAAAACAAGUCCAUCGAAUCUAGAGU